rnacentral:rRNA from 1 species
GCUGGGUAGCUAUGUACGGAAUGGAUAAGCGCUGAAAGCAUCUAAGCGCGAAGCCAACUUCAAGAUAAGAUUUCCCACCGCAAGGGUAAGACCCCAGAAAGACUAUCUGGUUGAUAGGUCGAAGGUGUAAGUGCAGCAAUGUAUUUAGCUUAUCGAUACUAAUAGGUCGAGGACUUGACCAA